rnacentral:lncRNA from 1 species
AUGGUUCAUAUUAAUACUAAUAAUGUAGCAGAGCACAUGGUUAAUAUUAAUACUAAUAAUGUAGCAGAGCACAUGGUUCAUAUUAAUACUGAUAAUGUAGCAGAGCACAUGGUUAAUAUUAAUACUGAUAAUGUAGCAGAGCACAUGGUUCAUAUUAACACUGAUACUGAUAAUGUAGCAGAUCACAUGGUUCAUAUUAAUACUGAUAAUGUAGCAGAUCACAUGGUUAAUAUUAAUACUAAUAAUGUAGCAGAGCACAUGGCUAAUAUUAGUACUGAUAAUGUAGCAGAGCACAUGGUUAAUAUUAAUACUAAUAAUGUAGCAGAGCACAUGGUUCAUAUUAAUACUAAUAAUGUAGCAGAGCACAUGGUUCAUAUUAAUACUGAUAAUGUAGCAGAGCACAUGGUUCAUAUUAAUACUGAUAAUGUAGCAGAGCACAUGGUUAAUAUUAAUACUGAUAAUGUAGCAGAUCACAUGGUUAAUAUUAAUACUGAUAAUGUAGCAGAGCACAUGGUUAAUAUUAAUACUAAUAAUGUAGCAGAGCACAUGGUUAAUAUUAAUACUGAUAAUGUAGCAGAGCACAUGGUUAAUAUUAAUACUGAUACUAAUAAUGUAGCAGAGCACAUGGUUCAUAUUAAUACUGAUAAUGUAGCAGAUCACAUGGUUCAUAUUAAUACUGAUAAUGUAGCAGAGCACAUGGUUCAUAUUAAUACUGAUAAUGUAGCAGAGCACAUGGUUCAUAUUAAUACUAAUAAUGUAGCAGAUCACAUGGUUAAUAUUAAUACUAAUAAUGUAGCAGAGCACAUGGUUAAUAUUAAUACUGAUAUUGAUAAUGUAGCAGAGCACAUGGUUAAUAUUAACACUGAUACUGAUAAUGUAGCAGAGCACAUGGUUAAUAUUAAUACUGAUACUGAUAAUGUAGCAGAGCACAUGGUUAAUAUUAACACUGAUACUGAUACUGUAGCAGAUCACAUGGUUAAUAUUAAUAUUGAUAAUGUAGCAGAUCACAUGGUUAAUAUUAAUACUGAUAAUGUAGCAGAUCACAUGGUUAAUAUUAAUACUGAUAAUGUAGCAGAUCACAUGGUUAAUAUUAAUACUGAUAAUGUAGCAGAUCACAUGGUUAAUAUUAAUACUAAUAAUGUAGCAGAGCACAUGGUUAAUAUUAAUACUGAUACUGAUAAUGUAGCAGAGCACAUGGUUCAUAUUAAUACUGAUACUAAUACACAGACAGACAGACAGACAGACAGACAGACAGACAGACAGACAGACAGUAGGAUCACCCAGACAGACAGACAGACAGACAGACAGACAGACAGACAGACAGACAGUAGGAUCGGCUGCUGUUCCGUGUCUUAUAGCCACUCUGUGAGACAGAAUACCCUCUCAGAUGAUGAAAUCUGA